GCGGUUCGCUGCCGGUCCCGCCGCCCCGGGGUGCCGCAGCCGCCGGCGGAGGAAGAGAGAGGGGUUUUGGAUGAGAAGCUUUUCCCCAAACACACUACUCAUCUUCCAGGCUAACAAUGUAGAAGCAGAGCUGACUUUAUGCUCAGUCAACUUAGGCAACAAAACAAAGAAAGGAGACCAUAGCAUAUCAGGAUGGCUGCCUGAACUCCAUGGUCAUGCUGAAGGCAAGACCCUCCUUGACACCAAUGAGCAAGACCAAAAUCACAGGUGACCCACCUGUGUGUCCUACAUGCAUCUACAAGUAGAUCAAGUGCAGCUCCUAUUUGGCAGUGGCACCGUGCUAACUGGGAAACUGCUGAAUACUUGGAACUCCCAGGAAGGAGAGUCAGAUGUGCUGCCUCUGCCUUUUGUUCAUUUCUGCACAGCAUUCACUGAGUUUCUCUUCUGCACCAGUCCAACUCAACAUAUUCAAUUGUCUGUUCUUUUAAUUAUUGACUUCUUUAGCUUUAGCUGCCUGAUUUUUCAGAAAGAAAAUCGGUUUCUCAUUUCUUUGACACUUUCUUUUGUUCUUCCAUCAGAACUAGAAGGUGUCAACAUACCUGGUUGUUACAUCAUUAUCAACACUAGGGCAGCUAUCAAAUGCUCUGAUAUUGAAGAGGACACUGGUUGAUACAAAAACAGGCUAGUAUUAGUAAAUGAGAGGAGUGUAGAUAAUAAAUUUAAAUUACAGGAAAAAAAUGCCUUUAUUAAUAAAAAUUCUUUUAAAGAA